rnacentral:rRNA from 1 species
GUCCACGCCAUAAACGAUGAAUACUAGGUGUUGGAGGAUUUAAACCCUUCGGUACCGCAGCUAACGCGUUAAGUAUUCCGCCUGGGGAGUACGACCGCAAGGUUAAAACUCAAAGGAAUUGACGGGGGCCCGCACAAGCAGCGGAGCGUGUGGUUUAAUUCGAUGCAACGCGAAACACCUUACCUGGAUUUGACGUGUCCGUAGUAGUGAAGCGAAAGCGGAACGACCCUUCGGGGAGCGGAUGCAGGUGCUGCAUGGCUGUCGU